AUUGAACGCUGGCGGCAUGCCUUACACAUGCAAGUCGAACGGCAGCACGGGAGCAAUACUGGUGGCGAGUGGCGAACGGGUGAGUAAAGUAUCGGAACGUGCCCAGUCGUGGGGGAUAACGUAGCGAAAGUUACGCUAAUACCGCAUACGAUCUAUGGAGGAAAGAGGGGGUUCGCAAGACAUCGCGCGAUUGGAGCGGCCGAUAUCGGAUUAGGUAGUUGGUGGGGUAAGGGCUCACCAAGCCGACGAUCUGGAGCUGGUCUGAGAGGACGACCAGCCACCCGGGGACUGAGACACGGCCCAGACUCCUACGGGAGGCAGCAGUGGGGAAUUUUGGACAAUGGGCGAAAGCCUGAUCCAGCCAUGCCGCGUGCAGGAUGAAGGCAUUCGGGUUGUAAACUGCUUUUGUACGGAACGAAAAGGUUUGGCCUAAUAAGCUGAGCUCAUGACGGUACCGUAAGAAUAAGCACCGGCUAACUACGUGCCAGCAGCCGCCGUAA
rnacentral:rRNA from 1 species